rnacentral:lncRNA from 1 species
AUGGGUUGGCAGGGGUCCUGUUCUGAUAAUUGCUCAGAGACCCAGGCUGACAGAAACGUCAUCAUUUGCAGUUCCACCAUCUGGAACACAUGGUCUCCGGGCUCCCAGCCUCAGAGGAAGAGAGCAUGGAAAAUGGCACACUGGCUCUUCCGUGCUGUGACCCAUUGGUCAGAACUAGUCAUGUGGCUGUGGCCAAGUGUGCAGAAUCUGGAAAAUAUAGUCCUCCACGUAUCCAGGACAGGGUGCUUCGAUUCAGUGGGUCCUGGGUUACUGUCCAAUAAGUCAAGCUCAGUGAACAUCAUGUUUAUCUCAAAGUUAAAACAGGAGCCCUAACUAAGGAACAAAAAAGGUAAGAAUUAAUUAUAAAUGUAAAUAUAACUAGUCAAUUGACAAUUUGAUUUUUUUUUCCUAUCUGGUGCAAUAAUUUGUAGCUUAUAACAUUAAGCAUAUUUUUACAGUACAUUUUAAAAAUGCAUAUAAUGGCUUCAAGCUUCCGUUUUGAAUGAGACAUAUUUAUACUCCAAACACCACAUUUACUUAUGUAUUUCCAGUGUGUCUGAAUAUUUUGGGAAGGAAACAAAUAGGAUGAUUGUGUAAUUGCCAUCAAUAUGUUUUGCUUUGCUUUGUUUCACUUUUAAAAUAACAGCCGUAUUAUGCCAUAAGUGGCCUAUUCAGUAACGAAGGCAACAAAUUAUUUGUUGCCUGUGCUGUAUGUGCCAGGCACCAUCACAGGCUCUGCCCUCAGAAUUCCGCCUCCCCGAAUUUUGUGGACUACAGAGGGGAGAUAGCCAAAGCAGCAAGCAGUUACAAUGAGUUCAUGAAGGCAGGUAAACACAGUUAACUGCAGGGCAUCUAGGCAAAACAAAAACAAACAAACAAAAAAAAACAAAACAAAAAAACACCUGGUCUAGGCUUCAGAGACCUAGAAAAGCCUUUGCAACGAAGAUGAAGCUCAGUCCCAAAGAAGAAUGGAAUUUAAUCAGGCAAAGUAUGUGGGACUUUCCAGACAGAAGUAUAGCUGCGUGUGCAAAGGCCCUGACCUAAGAGAAAGAAUGGAAGAUUGAAAAUAAUUGUAAGUAGUUCAGCGUGGCUAGAGCAGUGUUAUUGGUGCAAGGUAAGGAGUAGUUUGUGGUGUGAUGAGGGUUGAUGUCAGAUAGGAAAACAAGGGCAAGAUCAUGAGGGGUGCUGAAUACUAUACAAAAGAAUUUGGAUGCCAUUCUAAACAAGAGUAAUAUGUAAUGCUUUUUUAGUGCUUAUAUGAGUGGGGCACAUUGCUCUAAAUGUAUCUCAUUUAGUCUUCACAUCUGGUGUAUGUUCUAGAUACUGUUAUUACUCCCGAUUUUAUAGGAAAUGAAACUGAGGCACAGACACUGAAAGUACUUUACCAAAGUUGCACAGUUGGGCAGUAAUGGAGCUGGGCUCCUAAAGGUAAUGAGAGGGGACAUGAUGUAAUUUUUGUUUUGUAAAGACCAUUCUGGCUCAAGUGUGAAGAUAGGAUUUGAGAAGAUAUUUCAGCAAUCCAAGUCAGAUAAGCUGAAGACUUGAGCUAAGUUGAACCAAUGGGGGAAGGAAAGAAAUAGAUAAGUAGAGGGAUGCUUAGGGGCAUAGUAAGACUCGGUGAUGGGUCAGUAAGAUGUAAGACCAAGAAUGUGACCAAAUGGGCUUCUCCAAAUAGAGCAUGAGUACCAGAUUUUAGGACAUAUACAAUCAAAUAUGCAUUUCCUAUGACCAUAUUUGUAAUUAAAAUGACUAAAAUAAAUAUCAACUAAUGUCCAGCUGAUGACACAGAAUUUAAAUUGAAUAGUGGCAUAAUUUAAAUGAAGAAAGUGAAAGACCUAGGUUUCGCUUUAUUAAAAAAUACUAUGUCAUCUAACCAGGGUGUUAUUUCAUUCUUUGGUUACUUAUAGUACAGCUCUCUCCCUUUCUGUCUUUUGUUUUCCUGCCAAUUCUAAUCACCUAGCAGGAGAACCUCAUCUGUGUGUUCUCUCAAUGUUGACAGGAACUCAGAAUUCAGGGAAUUUCACUGCAUCUUUUAGACCCUUCUUGAUAACUCGGAUUCCAGGUUAUGAGUAUCUUCUUUGAUCCAUUUCUCUGAUUAUCCUGCUUUGUAUACCAAUAUCUGCACUUGGGUCUUGCUCCCUGUAAUUACCUGCCAUUCACAAAUCUUUAAACCCUGGCCUCUCCAGCUCAGGAUCCCUAUUACUAGAUGCCAACCUAUCUAUUAGUUCACUAACUUGUUCAUAUUUAAUGGUCUCUUCUCUUCUGCAAGGUUUUUGGGUAAUAUUGGUAAUUUUAUGAUACAACUAACAUCUUUCAAAUACUGUUGCUUACGACUCUUACCCAUAAUCUGUAUUAAAAUGUCAACCAAUUAGGAUUAUUCAGCUGUGUACAAUGGUCUAGUUCACCUUUGAAAAGACAUUUUUGAACUUUUUAAACUUUCGUCACUUAUUUUCAUGAUGCGCCUUUCCUUUUUCCUUGGCUGUAGAGCCAAACUUUGAACUCUCUUUCAAUCUUAUAUCCCCAUUUCCUUCUCUUUAAAACAACUAUCCUGUGUGUUCAUGUUUCAGGUCUUCACCCAAUUUAUAGUCCUGCCUGCACUUUUGGUUCCAAUCAUCCAAAUUCUGUUCAUUUCCACUAGGGCCAGUGUUCAGGGCCAAUGUAAUUAAGAGCCAUUAAUCCCCAUUUUAUAUUAAAUUAUUAUUAGAACAGCCAAAAACAUGAGAGUACAUAGUCAUGUUUUAAAGAUAAUCUAUAAGGCAGCCCCGGUUGCCCAGCAGUUUAGCGCCAUCUUCAGCCCGGGUGUGAUCCUGGAGACCCAGGAUCGAGUCCAAUGUCGGGCUCCCCGCAGGGAGCCUGUUUCUCCCUCUGCCUGUGUCUCUGCCUCUCUCUCUCUCUCUCUGUGUCUGUCAUGAAUAAAUACAUUAAAAAUCUUUUUUAAAAAAAUAAAGAUAAUCUGUAAGUUAAGGGAAAGGUGAGGGAAGCUUUUGUGCUAUAAUGGCAGAGCCGAGUAGUUGCCACAGAGACCAUAUGGCCAGGAAAGACUGAAGUAUUUACUAUCUGGCCAUGAACAGAUGAAGUCUGCCAAUCCCUGAUUUCAUUACUCAAAUUUAAGUCUCCUCUCAUUUGAUAAAGACCUUUUAACCAACAUAUUUUGUAAGUAUUCAUUCCCAAACCAAUGGAUGCCUAUAUAAUGACAUAAUUUGGAAGUGAACAAAACAAGCCAUUUCCUAUACAGAUUAUCAUGUUACUUAAUUACCAGUUGUACAAAAACAGUUAUUUUUAUGGCAUAUGUAACAGCUAAGCAAUCUAAAAAAGUUAUCUAAGAUAUUUUAUUGCUGUUUUUGACUCCUAUGUACUUCUCUGGAAAAUUCUUUUUAAAGAAAACGAGGUUGAUUUGGACAUACAAUGAGAAAUAAAAAUCCUUAGAAAUCCUAAAAGGAACAGAGAAUAGUGACAAAUGAAUAAAGGGAAGUAAAAAAUGUCAUUUUUAUAGCACAUAAGCAUAUCCCUCAGCAAUUAAUAGGACCCCUAAAAAUGACAUGUGUUUUUGGAGCAAGUUUACCAUACUAGAUUGAACUUGACCCCCUAUAUGUAAAGGCCACUAAAACAAUUCCCUCAGAAAAAUCUGUUGUAUUUUCCUACGU